UACGUAGGGUGCGAGCGUUGUCCGGAAUUACUGGGCGUAAAGAGCUCGUAGGUGGUUUGUCGCGUUGUUCGUGAAAACCGGGGGCUUAACCCUCGGCGUGCGGGCGAUACGGGCAGACUUGAGUACUGCAGGGGAGACUGGAAUUCCUGGUGUAGCGGUGGAAUGCGCAGAUAUCAGGAGGAACACCGGUGGCGAAGGCGGGUCUCUGGGCAGUAACUGACGCUGAGACGCGAAAGCGUGGGGAGCAAACAGG
rnacentral:rRNA from 1 species